UUAAUGUUGCUUAGGAACAACCUGCAUAUUUAAACACUGCUUUAAAUUAAAAUAUCGUAAUUCAGCUAAUGAAUGCUAAGCUCUGAAACUUUCCUUUCUGGACUGUUGUCUUGUCCAAAGGCUGUCCUUGUUUGCAAGCAUAGGAAAACAUACAAAAGUACUCCAUGGGAAGCCUCUUAUGAUGUCUUCUCUGAGAAGAGGAAGGUUGUGUGCAUAUGUUCAGUUAAAUCUGGGCUCUCAGAUGGCAUCUCCUCAGAGCGUAUUUCCAUUAUUACUUAUGUGGAACCAAAUCUUGCAGUCAUGAUAGCAGUGGGAAAAAAGUCAAGUUUAAUUUCGUCGUGAGGCUAGAUGCGGCUGUCUGUUUCUAUUUUUCUUUCUUCUGCCUGACUUUGCAUUUUUUGCCUGAGUAGAAUCUAAGUAAACUUCAUUGCCUACUAAGCGCUGUGCAGAACGAGG
rnacentral:lncRNA from 1 species